AAGCCACACUGUGGCAGAUGAUGGACACUGUCUGACACAAAUUGAACUUGCUAUCACAAGAAAGUCUGACCUGUCUUAGUGUUCUCCUCCAUGAGACCAACUGUUACAUAGACUUCAACAAU
ensembl:snoRNA